rnacentral:misc_RNA from 1 species
CAAAUCUAAAGACACGGUAUGCAAAGCAGGAGACGCAAAUGAAGAUGCCAGAAAAGGACAGUAUUAGUGGGAUGAUCAAAUGUGAGAAACCAAAUAGGAACAUUUAUGGUUUUCAUGCUAAUAUGGAAAUAGAUGGAAAGCGUGUUUCUCUUGGACCUUCAAAUAUAAUCCUCCGUGGCUGUGAGCUCAAGAACACUAGUUGGGCUAUUGGAGUUGCAGUUUAUGCUGGAAG